rnacentral:rRNA from 1 species
GUGGGGAAUAUUCCGCAAUGGACGAAAGUCUGACGGAGCAACGCCGCGUGAGUGAUGAGGGUUUUCGGACUGUAAAGCUCUGUUGUUUAGGACGAAAGUGCCUGUUGCAAAUAGUUACAGGUAUUGACGGUACUGAACGAGGAAGCCACGGCUAACUACGUGCCAGCAGCCGCGGUAAUACGUAGGUGGCAAGCGUUGUCCGGAAUUAUUGGGCGUAAAGAGCAUGUAGGCGGGAAUCUAAGUCUGUUGUGAAAAUGCGGGGCUCAACCCCGUAUUGCGAUGGAAACUGGGUUUCUUGAGUGCAGGAGAGGAAAGGGGAAUUCCCAGUGUAGCGGUGAAUGCGUAGAUAUUGGGAGGAACACCAGUGGCGAAGGCGCCUUUCUGGACUGUGUCUGACGCUGAGAUGCGAAAGCCAGGGUAGCGAACGGGAUUAGAUACCCUUGUAGUCC